rnacentral:rRNA from 1 species
GAAGCGGGCAACAGCUCAAAUUUGAAAUCUGGCCCCUUUCGGGGGUCCGAGUUGUAAUUUGUAGAGAGUGUUUCGGGUGAGACCACGGUCUAAGUCCAUUGGAACAUGGCGUCAUAGAGGGUGAGAAUCCCGUAUGUGACUGUGGAUCGAGCCCAUGUGAAGCCUCUUCGACGAGUCGAGUUGUUUGGGAAUGCAGCUCAAAAUGGGUGGUAAAUUUCAUCUAAAGCUAAAUACUGGCUGGAGACCGAUAGCGCACAAGUAGAGUGAUCGAAAGAUGAAAAGCACUUUGGAAAGAGAGUCAAACAGUACGUGAAAUUGUUGAAAGGGAAGCGCUUGCAACCAGACCUGUCCGUAGGUGAUCAGCCGCUGUUCUCAGUGGUGCACUCGCUCUGCGAUCAGGCCAGCAUCGGUUCGGGCGGUCGGAUAAAGGCCUUGGGAAUGUAGCUUCCUUCGGGGAGUCUUAUAGCCCUCGGUGCAAUGCGGCCAGCCGGGGCCGAGGACCGCGCUUCGGCUAGGAUGCUGGCGUAAUGGUUGUAAGCGACCCGUCUUGAAACACGGACCAAGGAGUCUAACAUCUAUGCGAGUGUUUGGGCGUUAAACCCAUGCGCGGAAUGAAAGUGAACGGAGGUGAGAACCCUUAAGGGCGCAUCAUCGACCGAUCCAGAUGUCUUCGGAUGGAUUUGAGUAUGAGCAUAACUGUUGGGACCCGAAAGAUGAUGAACUAUGCCCGAAUAGGGUGAAGCCAGAGGAAACUCUGGUGGAGGCUCGCAGCGGUUCUGACGUGCAAAUCGAUCGU